ensembl:lncRNA
AGAUAACUUUCUUGCUUGAAGUGUGACGUGCAAACUGUGUUCAUUGUCCCUCCUCAAGAUAUUUCCAAAGUUAAAAUAUCUCAAUUUUAAGGCUCACGUGUGCAAGCAGUUAACAUGGCGUGCCCAUUUUCCAGCUUUUGCUCCAAAGGGGUAAAAAAUUGCAAAAUCUGCAAAUACUGUCGUGUCUCUGGCAGUUGUAGCUGCCUUGGACACCCCAGAUGGUACCUUAAAUGGACACCAAAAUUUAAAGAAAUUAAUCUUGACAUGAGGAAUACCUCAUGUAAUAUGAGCACCAAUAACUGCAAUCAAGACAACUACAGUAGCCUUAUUUCCUCCGUUGUGCACACCUGGUUUCAUAGGCUCUAUGUACAGAAAUGAAUACCUGAGUGCCUUUUUCUCAACAUGUUAUAGCAAAACAAAUAUAAUGAAUAGAAUAUAAAUGGCUGGAAAGUAGUAUGAAAAGGGGAAUCAUUUUGACAAAAAUAUUCUGUGGCUAUGCAUAUAGUUGAGUGAAAAUGAUGUAUGAUAUUUAAUAUUUGAAUGAUCAACAUGCCAUGGGAACAUGUAAGCAAAAGAUGAAUUUUCACUGCAAAAUCUAUUUUCCAGAUUGUGCAGUAUUUAUACUUGAUAGAUCACUUCAUAUGUCUUCUUAUCUCCUGAUUCUAAUAGCCGGCUACCUUUUGUGGAAGAUGUGAGAUACAUAUGUCCAAUCAUCAGUGAUUUGUCCUGUAUUGUAGGAAAAAGAGAAGUACUGAAAUUAUUCCCACUGCUUUGGAGUUGGAAUCAAUGGUUCACAUCUUGACAAAACUGGCUGAUAUGUUGUGGCAUAUACAUUUAAGUCUCAAAACUCUUUAGAGAUUCUUCUAACACUUUUCCCCAUGAGAGAGUCUUCUUUGUCAAUGCUUUCCAGGUCAUUCUCUUAAUCCUGGGUGUAGACAGUAAAGAAUGUCUUCAGCAGACCCUUGAGAAAAGGAAGGGGAGGCCAGGGGAAUCUAGUCCACUCCAAGAGAACACUGAAGAGUAGUUUAUUGGAGAGCUUUUUCUUUAUCUGAGACUGAUGAUUCUUGCUGCAAUAAACUCUUUGGGUUUUUUUUUGUUUUGUUUUGUUUUUUUAAUGUGUGUGUGUAUUUAAGGGCUUUCUCCUAGUCCUGAAAUAUUCUAAAGCCGGAUAUUACUCACAAGCCUUGAUUUAAUAAACAUUUUUGCU